rnacentral:lncRNA from 1 species
GCCGGGGUAGGGGCGGGGUGGGGGGCACCAUUUACCAGUGAGGACUCAACGAGUGCUCAUCAAUCACCCACCAUCUGGGUGCGGGGUGGGGGCUCCCCCUCUGGGGGUGCGUGGCAGGGGGAUCCCAGUCUGCCUUUGUCAGUCGCGCCGAGUACCGCCUGGAAGGGCUGCUACUGCGGAGGGGAAGCCUGGACCUCCCUGUUGCUCUUCCCCGACCCUCCUCCCUCCUCCCUGACCAGGGCAAGGACCCCCCCAGUGGUCCUGGAGGGCGGGGAAGAGGCCGGCCGGUCCCCGGCUGAGGCGGCGGCGGCGAGGAGGGGGCGCGGAGGAGCGGCUCCACCUCCUCUGUCUCCCAAUCGCGUUACAGGCGGAGCCGCCAGAGUUUCCCUUCGCGCGGAGAAGUGUGGUCCCAACUCUCAGGAUCGAAGCCGCCCACCACUCACCCCGGGCCGCCUCGGCCCGGCGGCAUCGCGGCUCCAGGCCCGUCCACCCCGGGGACGCGUCGCCCCGGCCCCACCGCCCGGCCCCGGGCCCCGCACUCACCACCCGGCCGGGCCCCGCGGGACGAGCGCGCCGAGGCGGGCGCCGGCCGCUCCGGGUUCGGAAUCUGCGCGCGCGGCGGCCUCCCCCCUCCCUUGUUCGCCCCCCACACCCCGCUCCGCCACCCCCCGGAGGUGGGUCUGGCGGAGCCGCAGCUGUUACCCGGAGACCGAGGGGCGGAAAACUGCGCCCGCCGCCCGCCCCGCCCGCCGCGGCGCUGCCACCGCCGGGAACAAAGGAGACAAAGCCGCGUCGGCCGGGCCCGGCUCCGCUCCUUCCCCCCCCCGCUCCCGCCGGGCCGCCCUCCCCCCGCCCGCCGCCCAGGCCAGGCCGGAAGCAGCCGGGAGAGCCGGGCGCGCGGCCCCGAGCCGCCCGGGACCCCGCAUUCCAGCCCUCCCGGCUCUGCACUUGCCGAGGGCGGGGGACUCGACCCCUCGCUCGCUAGGGGGGCGGACGGUGGGGGGAGGGGAGGGGAAAGGGCUGCACCCCGGCGGUUGCCAAGGCAACGCGGAUGGCGGCGGGAGGAGCGCGCAGAGUCGAGCCGCGGGACCGGCUGCCCCACCCCGCCCAGUCCCCGCCGGGCCUCACCUGCGCGCCGCGCUGGAGCCGGAAUUGGGGGCCCUCCGGCACGGGAGGGGCCGGACGGCGGGGGCUGGGGGGUGGGGGUCGCGCUCUCCAACCCGACGUGUGGUGGUGCUCCGACCGGACCUCCGCCUGCCUGCCUGCCAGCGCCCGGUGGGACCCACGCCCCUCACCUGCCCCACCAACCACCGCCAACCACCACCCCCGCUCUCCGGGGCCCGUCUUACCAGUCCAGUACCUGGUUCCUGUGGUCAUCCUCCUCCAACUUUCUUUACCUGA